AAGUCGUAACAAGGUUUCCGUAGGUGAACCUGCGGAAGGAUCAUUAUUGUAGGGACUCCGGUCCCCUCAAGAUGCAACCCGUGCCUUUUUUGUAGCCCGUAACGUUUCCUCGGCAGCCCCGCUGCCAGCGAGGACCCCCCCAAACCAAACCUGCAAUCUCAGUAAAAAAAUUCAGAAACCCCCCAAAAUUUUAAAACUUUCAACAAUGGAUCUCUUGGCUCUG
rnacentral:misc_RNA from 1 species